UGGGGAAUAUUGGACAAUGGGCGAAAGCCUGAUCCAGCCAUGCCGCGUGUGUGAAGAAGGUCUUCGGAUUGUAAAGCACUUUAAGUUGGGAGGAAGGGCAGUAACUUAAUACGUUGCCGUCUUGACGUUACCGACAGAAUAAGCACCGGCUAACUCUGUGCCAGCAGCCGCGGUAAUACAGAGGGUGCAAGCGUUAAUCGGAAUUACUGGGCGUAAAGCGCGCGUAGGUGGUUUGUUAAGUUGGAUGUGAAAGCCCCGGGCUCAACCUGGGAACUGCAUUCAAAACUGACAAGCUAGAGUAUGGUAGAGGGUGGUGGAAUUUCCUGUGUAGCGGUGAAAUGCGUAGAUAUAGGAAGGAACACCAGUGGCGAAGGCGACCACCUGGACUGAUACUGACACUGAGGUGCGAAAGCGUGGGGAGCAAACAGGAUUAGAUACCCAGGUAGUCCCUGAGCGGGCUGGCAAGGCGCAU
rnacentral:rRNA from 1 species